GUCUCCUGUGCCUUCUGAGCUGAUAUCAGUUGUACUGAAACACUGGCUCAGUUCAGCAGGAACAGGAGC
rnacentral:pre_miRNA from 1 species